rnacentral:rRNA from 1 species
UACAGAGGUCUCAAGCGUUGUUCGGAUUCAUUGGGCGUAAAGGGUGCGUAGGCGGCGCGGUAAGUCGGGUGUGAAUCUCGGAGCUUAACUCCGAAACUGCAUUCGAUACUGCCGUACUUGAGGACUGGAGAGGAGACUGGAAUUUACGGUGUAGCGGUGAAAUGCGUAGAUAAUCGUAAGGAAGACCAGUGGCGAAGGCGGGUCUCUGGACAGUUCCUGACGCUGAGGCACGAAGGUCAGGGGAGCAAACGGG